rnacentral:rRNA from 1 species
UGAUGGAGAGCUUGCUCUCCUGAUAGGUUAGCGGCGGACGGGUGAGUAACACGUAGGCAACCUGCCUGCAAGACCGGGAUAACCCACGGAAACGUGAGCUAAUACCGGAUAUCUCAUUUCCUCUCCUGAGGGGAUGAUGAAAGACGGAGCAAUCUGUCACUUGCGGAUGGGCCUGCGGCGCAUUAGCUAGUUGGUGAGGUAACGGCUCACCAAGGCGACGAUGCGUAGCCGACCUGAGAGGGUGAACGGCCACACUGGGACUGAGACACGGCCCAGACUCCUACGGGAGGCAGCAGUAGGGAAUCUUCCGCAAUGGGCGAAAGCCUGACGGAGCAACGCCGCGUGAGUGAUGAAGGUUUUCGGAUCGUAAAGCUCUGUUGCCAGGGAAGAACGUCCGAUAGAGUAACUGCUAUCGGAGUGACGGUACCUGAGAAGAAAGCCCCGGCUAACUACGUGCCAGCAGCCGCGGUAAUACGUAGGGGGCAAGCGUUGUCCGGAAUUAUUGGGCGUAAAGCGCGCGCAGGCGGUCAUUUAAGUCUGGUGUUUAAGGCCAAGGCUCAACCUUGGUUCGCACUGGAAACUGGGUGACUUGAGUGCAGAAGAGGAGAGUGGAAUUCCACGUGUAGCGGUGA